GACGAACGCUGGCGGCGUGCUUAACACAUGCAAGUCGAACGGAAAGGCCCUGCUUUUGUGGGGUGCUCGAGUGGCGAACGGGUGAGUAACACGUGAGUAACCUGCCCUUGACUUUGGGAUAACUUCAGGAAACUGGGGCUAAUACCGGAUAGGAGCUCCUGCUGCAUGGUGGGGGUUGGAUAGUUUCGGCGGUUGGGGAUGGACUCGCGGCUUAUCAGCUUGUUGGUGGGGUAGUGGCUUACCAAGGCUUUGACGGGUAGCCGGCCUGAGAGGGUGACCGGCCACAUUGGGACUGAGAUACGGCCCAGACUCCUACGGGAGGUAGCAGUGGGGAAUAUUGCACAAUGGGCGGAAGCCUGAUGCAGCAACGCCGCGUGCGGGAUGACGGCCUUCGGGUUGUAAACCGCUUUCGCCUGUGACGAAGCGUGAGUGACGGUAAUGGGUAAAGAAGCACCGGCUAACUACGUG
rnacentral:rRNA from 1 species